UACGAAGGGGGCUAGCGUUGUUCGGAAUCACUGGGCGUAAAGGGCGCGUAGGCGGUCUUCUAAGUCUUGUGUGAAAUCCCUCGGCUCAACUGAGGAACUGCACGGGAUACUGGAUGACUUGAGUUCGGGAGAGGGAAGCGGAAUUCCGGGUGUAGCGGUGAAAUGCGUAGAUAUCCGGAGGAACACCGGUGGCGAAGGCGGCUUCCUGGACCGAUUACUGACGCUGAGGCGCGAAAGCUAGGGGAGCAAACGGG
rnacentral:rRNA from 1 species